GAACUGGAAACGGCGCCAAAUUG
rnacentral:siRNA from 1 species